UACAGAGGGGGCAAGCGUUGUUCGGAAUUACUGGGCGUAAAGGGCGCGUAGGCGGCCUUCUAAGUCGAACGUGAAAUCCCCGGGCUCAACCCGGGAACUGCGUCCGAUACGUGGAAGGCUUGAAUCCGGGAGAGGGAUGCGGAAUUCCGAGGUGUAGCGGUGAAAUGCGUAGAUAUCGGAGGAAGACCGGUGGCAGAAGGCGGC
rnacentral:rRNA from 1 species